GAACGUACCCUUUUCUACGGAAUAGCCUCGGGAAACUGAGAGUAAUACCGUAUACGCCCUUCGGGGGAAAGAUUUAUCGGAGAAGGAUCGGCCCGCGUAAGAUUAGAUAGUUGGUGGGGUAAUGGCCUACCAAGUCUACGAUCUUUAGCUGGUUUGAGAGGAUGAUCAGCAACACUGGGACUGAGACACGGCCCAGACUCCUACGGGAGGCAGCAGUGGGGAAUCUUAGACAAUGGGGGAAACCCUGAUCUAGCCAUGCCGCGUGAGUGACGAAGGCCUUAGGGUCGUAAAGCUCUUUCGCUGGGGAAGAUAAUGACUGUACCCAGUAAAGAAACCCCGGCUAACUCCGUGCCAGCAGCCGCGGUAAUACGGAGGGUGCGAGCGUUAAUCGGAAUUACUGGGCGUAAAGCGUGCGUAGGUGGUUGUUUAAGUCAGAUGUGAAAGCCCCGGGCUUAACCUGGGAACUGCAUUUGAAACUGGAUAACUAGAGUAUAGUAGAGGAAAGUAGAAUUUCUGGUGUAGCGGUAAAAUGCGUAGAUAUCAGAAGGAAUACCGAUGGCGAAGGCAGCUUUCUGGACUAAUACUGACACUGAGGUACGAAAGCGUGGGUAGCAAACAGGAUUAGAUACCCUGGUAG
rnacentral:rRNA from 1 species